rnacentral:snRNA from 1 species
GGUACCAUAGCCAAUGAGGGUUAUCCGAGGCGUGGUUAUUGCUAGUUGAAAACUAUUCCCAAUACCCCGCGAUGGCGCCUAAUGGGCGCCAAUCGCAAUUUUUAGGCACCUCUACGGAGGUGUGAAAAUACCCUAAUAUCAGACUGUAUUGAUUAGCCGUGUGUAUCGAUAAUGAUUAUUGAUUCGGUGUCAGUGACCGCAGCACGGGUCGUUCCUGUAUGACUGCGAUCAUCCAUGUUGACAACGAUUCUUUUACGUGGUAUUUCGACUUCAUAUUGGACAAUGUGUUCCUGAACUCAACAAAGAAAGGCGAGAUGGUCACGGACAGAACGCCUUUGAUCUUUAAGUCUGCUCGAUCAAAAGGUAUUUUAUUGAAUAUGUCCCUGACCACAUAUGAUGACACUGGAUUAGCGUUUAGGGAGAUUUGACUGUUGUUACUAGCAGAUUGUGCGACUACACAAAGAACUCUUCAUUAUCUCAGAGAAAGCUCCUUGACAUUGGAUUUAGCCCUUUUGCGAUUAUUCGGUCUGCCGAGAAUAGCAGACAAUCUCCCUUAGAAUCACACAUUAUCGUACCGUCUUUAAAAAAAAAUUAUACAUUUCAUCCCAGAAAUAUAACUGGAAAAAAGUCGGGAUGAACACGACUGGAACGCCUUUGAUUUUAAGUUUUUCUUUAUCAGAGCCUGCCUGCCUGGGGCUAAUAGUUUUUCACGUGUAGAGCCUUUAUGCUAGAAAUAUCAGUUAAAUCACUGCUCUCCGUUUUAAAAAGUGAUACAUCGGAUAGUGUUGUCCUGAAAAAAAUUACACGAUGGCCAAAGGUGGAAUGCUUUUGAUUAUAAUCUAAGGUUGACAUGGAACUGAACAAGUCUUGCUUACGAGGAAACUGUGUUAUCAAAGAAACUGCUAGAGAUAGCAGCCAAACCUCUCUCACAUUACAAACCUACCGUCUUAAAACAAUGAAAGGGUACUUUGAAUAAUAUAGUCCUAGAUAGAAUAAUACUAAAAACAGGCUAGAAAUCAUUUGAUCAGCUCAAGGGACGUUUAAAGAAUUUGUUGUAUUAUGUAUUCUUUAAGUAAUAAUUCUUAAAAUACCUGCAUUCUGAAGUCGAUUAGCACAACAUGCAAAUGACAUGAUAUAUAUACCCUGAUAGGGACCUGUAACUUAUUGAUUUGUAGGUAAGAAGAAAACCAGUUAUUUGAAGGAAGGGGAAUUCGGUCCUUAGAAAAAGACUGGUGUAUAUUUUAUCGGCUUCUGGAGAAUGAAAGCGAUUAAGUGAAUUGAAAUUCGCCUGAUGGAGGGUUAUUAUUUGCUGAGUAAAGCAGAUAAACAAGGACUUAUAGUCCCAGAGGCAAAGCCAUGAGCUGAGGCUAAUAAGCAUUUAUAUUUUUGUCAGCAAACCACAGGAUACAUAAAUUAGCUUUGGGCCCUCAGACACGCGGGGCAAGUGCGCAGUGUGACCAGACGGAAGACAGCAACUGCACACAAAUAUUGAUUUCCAAUGAAAUCAAUUUAAUCAACAAAAACAUUUGAUGAGUACUUAUUUUAUCUACCCUUGGAAGGAUAUUGCUUUCGGCGGGAUAUGAACUCACAGUUUCAAGAAGCUUAAGGGAAUGCCACAAAAUCAUUAAGUGGGGUACCUGAUCAUUUCACCAACAAAAUCCGUUAAAAAAAAGUUUUCUUUUUUUUUUCUUUUUCGUUGUUUCAUAUAUAAAUAUUAAUCAACUUCGAUCUGGUUGCCUGAAUGAGGUGGGUACAUGAUG